rnacentral:tRNA from 1 species
UCCCUGGUGGCUCAGAGGUUAAAGCAUCUGCCUGCAAUGUAGGAGACCUGGGUUCGAUCCCUGGGUUGGGAA